CACUACACCUACCAGUACAUAUUUUUGCUUUGGAUGUCAGAUUCACCACAAUAUAUUAAUUUUGUGAUUUAAUUGGAAGCUGCAGGCACAAGAUCUGGACUGGGUUCUGAUUCCUGUGUGGCGUCCUGGACAUUGGACACUAUGCAGAAGUCUGUCUUCAGAUGUCAUCUGGACCAUGGACAGAAUUUGUUGGCAAUGAUGUUAAGGGAUUGCCUAAACAAGGACUGUCCAACAACUGUGUAAUGUUUGUAGUGAUGUAUGCACUACUUUGUGAUGGGAGCAUCAUUUGAUUUCAGCGAGUCAUGAUCAAAAAGCUUCUACUUCCUGGUUCUGUUGCUCUGAAGGAAAAAACUGCAAGCCAAGUGGACUGUGACGUCAUCGGUUACGCAACAUCCGUCACAUUUACUUUCGGUUUGAAUUUCCCUGUUCAGGUGCGGCUCCAGACCGUUAGUUGGGUCUCAGUCUGUUGUUUAAAUUUUCUUCUUUAACUCUUUGGAUCGUUUGAACAAACUGUGAAGGUAGAAAGUGUGUGUGAGCUGAUGUGAAUUCAGCAGCAUGGAUCAGUG